GUUUUCCAUAUCCAGUGAGUUGAAGAGUUGGUCUGACAGCAGGCAGUACUGCAGGGAUCAAGGAGCUGAUCUGGUCAUUAUCAACACUGAAGAGAAACAGAGGUUCAUAUCUUCUUUAGUCAAAGAGAUUGUGUGGAUUGGUUUGUCUGACGUUGAGAACGAGGGCAACAUGACAUGGGUGGAUAAUUCACCACUGAAACAAGGGUUUUGGGAAAAAAAUGAGCCGAAUGACGCAGAUGGAAAUGAGGACUGUAUUGAACUGAAUCCUGCAAAACCCAUCCUGAGCAACUGGAAUGACAUCCCAUGCUUAGCGAUGAGAAAAUGUGUUUGUGAAAAUUAACAUCUGUUCCUUCAUCUUCAUGAUAGUUUUGACUCAUAUCUUCCAGCUUCAUUAGUAGUCAUGAUUUCUGAUGAAGGUUACUGUCAGCAUUUAAUAAAUAACUUUAGGAUUUAAUUUUUAUUUUAUUUAUUUUUUUUUUUAAAUCUUUUUAUGUAAUUUUCAACCAGGUCAACAAUUUGAUCUUACAGUGAUCUCAUGAGCUCCCAGGAUACUUGUGAUGUGGUCACAAUGUGAGCACAGUGAGCUAAAAGUGUAACUUCACAGCAAACUCAUUGUGUUCAUACUAUGGUCACAAUGUGAGGUCAAAGUGCACUCACUGCACAAAGACUAGGUACCCAGCAUGCACUGCAGCAUGAAGCUUUUGAUUGUCACUAUUGUUGAGAUUCAUACGCUGAUUCUUGAUGUCUCUUUGUGUCUAAGUGACAAUAGUUCAAAAUGUGCGUCUUAUCAUGCUUUUAAAUUCCUUCAUAAAUGAUUAUGAUACUGCUGGAUCUGAAAUUGUAUAACUACAAGACUGUUAUAUUAAAUAUUUGCAAUUAACAACACCUCACAAAGACUGCAUACUGAAUCAUGUAGAUGAUUCUGUUGUUAUCAUCAAUAACAAACCAACAUUGCCUAAUGCAUUCUCUUCUGGCUUUCCUUGUCAUAACAAAUGUGUUUUACAAACACAGUUACAGCAGCCACAGAAAAUUUAACGUUAAAAAGUCAAGGGUCAAGAGCCCAACUAAAGCAAACACUGAUCACUGAUCACCAUGGUGGUAACAUCAAACAAAACAGUAAAACCAACAUCUAAACCUCUGUUAAUUCUCAAUAAGAGCUUCUAUAGACGUGUGACAGAAAUAAAGCCAAUCUGGUCUGUAAUAAGUGAAGCUGGUAAUGCUGUUUGUGGAGUUGUUUAAUCCUCCUCUGCUCUUGAGAGAUUUAAUGUCUUCUUUUAUUUCAGUUGAUUUGAUCUAAGCCUGUGGCUGAAAGUCAGGUGUAUGUUUGGAGAACGUUCUUAUAACAAAAAUCUGUUAGCUGGGUGUGCACUCAUACUGUGAGCUCACCACGUGACACCACUGUG